rnacentral:sRNA from 1 species
ACCUAGCCCUGAUGGCAGCGGCAUCCUUUAUGUUUUUUCUUUAAAAACAUAAAGAUAUAGCGAACAGCAGGAGAUUGC